GAUAUGAAGUAGGCUGAGUGGCAAUUGCUGGUUGCAUCCUUUUGUCUUUUUUUUUUUUUUUUUUUUUUUUUUGAGAUGGAGUCUCGCUCUUGUUGUCCAGGCUGGAGUGCAAUGGUGUGAUCUUGGCUUACCGCAGCCUCCACCUCCUGGGUUCAAGGGAUUCUCCUGCCUCAGCCUCCGAGUUAGGGGAACAUGCUUGUCUUGAGCCUGAAGUAGACAAAGAAGCUCCAUCCGUGGAGCCUAAUUGAAAAGGGGAUUUAGGAAAAACGAAGUCGCUCCUGGGCUCCUAUACCAAAGAAAUCACACCUACCUCCAUCAGAAACAGGUGUGAGGCUUUUUUUCUGGUGACAUUGUUUGAGGAGGUAGGGAGUGGGGACUCAGACAUCCGUUCCCUAUCUAUCCAUUAUCUAUCUAUCCAUCUGUCAUCUACCCAUUCAUCUUCCAUCAUCUGUGCACCUGUGUAUCUACAUAUCCAUCACCUGACCAUUCAUCUUCUAUCCAUUUAUCUAUCAUCUAUCCAUCCAUCUUCUAUAUAUUAUCUAUGUAUCUAUCCAUCCAUCAUCUAUUAUCUAUCUAUCUAUCUAUCUAUCUAUCUAUCUGACACCUAUCUCUUAUUGUUGUCCUUCCAUUCCUGUAGAUAUGGACCAACUUCUUCCGUCCUUCUUUUUCUUCUACUUCUCUCUUUCUUUCUUCUUUCUUUCUUUCUCUUUCUUUCUUUCUUUUUCUCUCUCUUUCUCUCUCUCACUCUCUCUUUCUUUCUUUCCUCUCGACCCUGUUUAUUGAUAAUUCAACAGAACCAGUUUGAAAUAUGGAGAAAUUAGGUCAACUCUACACUUUCACAUGGCUUAUUUUCAGCUUCCAAUCUUAGCUAGUGACAUGACUCUUUCUUCCAAGUCGAGGUCUUGCAGCACUUGCCUUCACUCCCGUAGCUGUAGUUAGACAGCACCUUAGGCUUGGGUCGACCCUCGGUGAACUCUAUGCCGUGUCCCGCCGCGCCACAGCACAGCUUUCUCCUCAUUGUCUUCUGGCUCUGACUGUAGACAUGGAAAAAGCAGAGUCAACCUGAAUCUUCUCCCUUGCACGAGGCCAACUGCUGCCUGAAUCAUCAUAGGAUUCUUUACUUUCUCUUGAAGAUAAACAACUUCACCAGAAAAUGUCCAAGUGUUGUUCAGCAAUUGAGAGUUUCUUUUGCUAUGUUUGUUUUCAUCACUUUUACUUCAUACCUUUUUUUUUUCAUUUAAUUUUGUGUCGUUUUUCUCAAGGCUGACACAUCACAAACUCUGUUUUCAACAGUCCGUAUUCCACAUUCAUUGCUUCUAACAUGGAGCUAACUUCUGCAAUGAUGUGGCCACCACUGGAACAGGAAGGUUGCUGUCAGAAUCUGGAGAAAUUCAUGGGAAGUUUAAUGUUGCCAGUGAGAGAAACACUCUGUGAGCUGUUCUUAGGGUCUGCUGGUGAGAUGGCUCAGGAAGGGUAAACACUGGAGGCAUGAGAAUACCAUCGAAGGGGCCGACUGCAGUGCCGGGCAUUGUGUAGGCCACAGCCACCAGUGCCUCCAUGUUUCUGACCAAAUGCUUCAGUGCCCUUUAGUGAGUGUGUCGCAGACAAGGCAUUUUUGUAUGAGAUCCAGGGUUCAUACCAUCAUGAUUCUUAGCCUUCAUAUUCAUCACACACUGGAAGGGACGCUGCGUGCCAGGCGUUCCGGCCGGCCAUCUGCGGGGGAAGGAGGAGCAUGGCCUGGAGAUGUGGAGCUUCUGGGCAGCAUGGCGCUGAAGCGCUGCUAGCUAAGAAUUACUAAACAACUCAGGUUCAGCCAACUCUAAUUUGUGUUUUAUUUUCACUAAACUUUUUGCUUACUUUAGUGUAGGCAUCCUUGGGGA
rnacentral:lncRNA from 1 species